UAAGGAAUAUUGCUCAAUGGGAGAAAUCCUGAAGCAGCAACGCCGCGUGGAGGAUGAAGGGUCUAUGACUUGUAAACUCCUGUAAAGAAGGAAAAAAUUCCCAUUAGAUGGGAGAUGAUGGUACUUCUGGAGUAAGCCCCGGCUAACUACGUGCCAGCAGCCGCGGUAAUACGUAGGGGGCAAGCGUUGUCCGGAUUUACUGGGUGUAAAGGGUGCUCAGGCGGAUUUGUAAGUCAGAGGUGAAAUCUUACAGCUUAACUGUGAAACUGCCUUUGAUACUGCAAGCCUAGAGUAUGGAAGAGAGUGAUGGAAUAUCUGGUGUAGCAGUGAAAUGCGUAGAUAUCAGAUAGAACACCAAUGGCGAAGGCAGUCACUUGAUCUAUUACUGACGCUAAAGCACGAAAGCGUGGGUAGCAAACA
rnacentral:rRNA from 1 species